rnacentral:rRNA from 1 species
GAUGAACGCUGGCGGCGUGCCUAAUACAUGCGAGUCGAGCGAAAAGACGAGGAGCUUGCUCCUCUGACGUUAGCGGCGGACGGGUGAGUAACACGUGGAUAACCCACCUAUAAGACUGAGAUAACUUCGGGAAACCGGAGCUAAUACCGGAUAAUAUAUUGAACCGCAUGGUGCAAUAGUGAAAGACGGUUUUGCUGUCACUUAUAGAUGGAUCCGCGCCGCAUUAGCUAGUUGGUAAGGUAACGGCUUACCAAGGCAACGAAGCGUAGCCGACCUGAGAGGGGGAUCGGCCACCCUGGAACGUAGACACGGUCCAGACUCCUACGGGACGCCGCAGUAGGGAAUCUUCCGCAAUGGUCGAAAGCCUGACGGAGCAACGCCGCGUGAGUGAUGACGGUCUUCGGAUCGUAAAACUCUGUUAUUAGGGAAGAACAAAUGUGUAAUUAACUAUGCACGUCUUGACGGUACCUAAUCAGAAAGCCACGGCUAACUACGUG